GACGAACGCUGGCGGCGUGCCUAAUACAUGCAAGUAGAACGCCCAGUUUAUACCGUAGCUUGCUUCCCCAUAAACUGUGAGUUGCGAACGGGUGAGUAACGCGUAGGUAACCUGCCUGGUAGCGGGGCAUAACUAUUGGAAACGAUAGCUCAUACCGCAUAAUAUUAAUUAUUGCAUGAUACUUGAUUGAAAGAUGCAAUUGCAUCACUACCAUAUGGACCUGCGUUGUAUUAGCUAGUAGGUGAGGUAACGGCUCACCUAGGCGACGAUACAUAGCCGACCUGAGAGGGUGAUCGGCCACACUGGGACUGAGACACGGCCCAGACUCCUACGGGAGGCAGCAGUAGGGAAUCUUCGGCAAUGGACGAAAGUCUGACCGAGCAACGCCGCGUGAGUGAAGAAGGUUUUCGGAUCGUAAAGCUCUGUUGUAAGAGAAGAACGGGUGUGAGAGUGGAAAGUUCACACUGUGACGGUAUCUUACCAGAAAGAGACGGCUAACUACGUG
rnacentral:rRNA from 1 species